GAUGAACGCUGGCGGCGUGCUUAACACAUGCAAGUCGAACGGAAAGGCUCCUGCUUGCAGGGGUACUCGAGUGGCGAACGGGUGAGUAACACGUGGGUGAUCUGCCCUGCACUUCGGGAUAAGCCUGGGAAACUGGGUCUAAUACCGGAUAGGACGAUGGUUUGGAUGCCAUUGUGGAAAGUUUUUCGGUGUGGGAUGAGCUCGCGGCCUAUCAGCUUGUUGGUGGGGUAAUGGCCUACCAAGGCGUCGACGGGUAGCCGGCCUGAGAGGGUGUACGGCCACAUUGGGGCUGAGAUACGGCCCAGACUCCUACGGGAGGCAGCAGUGGGGAAUAUUGCACAAUGGGCGCAAGCCUGAUGCAGCGACGCCGCGUGGGGGAUGACGGCCUUCGGGUUGUAAACUCCUUUCGCUAGGGACGAAGCGCAAGUGACGGUACCUGGAGAAGAAGCACCGGCUAACUACGUG
rnacentral:rRNA from 1 species